UUAAAAUGAGAUUUUUUUUAUUUGUAUAGAAAUGGAAAAGUAACCAGGACAUUCCAUUUCUUUUUCACAUGCCAGGUACAGACUAAUGACAGUGAUUAUAUUAGAAUGGUAUUUUGGAGUUUCAUAAAUGAGCAUCAAAAGCCAAAAUGUAAAGAUACUUUUCAUGUUGAUUUAUACCAGAAACCAAUGAGGCACCCUUCAUUUGAGAAGGAGGAGCAAUCAUUUAAUUUAUUCAUUGGGCAACUUUACAAUAAAACAACAGUAAAACAAUAACACCAGCAACAGGGUAGAACUCUGGUUAAUUCCCAAAAGGCAAAACAACAAUGAAAAGCUUUCAUUUGUCUACAGAAACAACAAAAAGCUUUCACUUAUCUUCCCUUAGAAAGGAGUUCCAGAACAUUGGGGGCACUGCAAAAAAGGCCCUGCUCCUGGUGGAGAUUAAUCUACCCUACCCAUAAAAUGGCAUUCAGAACCGGGCCUCAUUGUUAACAAAAAAAGCCUUAACCACUAUGAUUUAAGGCAGCGGUUCUCAACCUGUGGGUCGGGACCCCUUUGGGGGUCGAAUGACCCUUUCACAGGGGUCGCCUAAGACCAUCGGAAAACACAUAUUUCCGAUGGUCUUAGGAAACUGUAUUGACUGAACUAUGUCCUGUAUCAUCUUUUGUAUUAUUAAAGCUAUUGUUAUGUAUUAUUUUCAUUAGCAAACCAUCCCAUGACAAUGGAUUGUGUAGAGAAGAACGAAAAUAAUUUUAUGGUUGGGGGUCACCACAACAUGAGGAACUGUAUUAAAGGGUCGCGGCAUUAGGAAGGUUGAGAACCACUGAUUUAAGGUGUCUUCUGAACAGGACCAUCAGCAGAUCUUAAGUCCUGGGUGGAGCUUUCUUCUAACCAUGGUGGCUACAUAACCACGGUUUAAACAUGCUCACUAACCAUUUGCUGCAAAAGGUUUAGUGGCCUAACCAUGGCUUAGUGUGUUGUCUCAACAGGCCCAAUGUUUAGCUCAAAAUGCUUAACCACCAUGGCUUAGCAUGUCAUCUGAACAAGGUCUUUGAAAUCAACGGGACAAGUAAUUAAUUGCAAACUGCAGCCCCAUUGAUUGCAAUGUGUCUUUUCUAAGUUGUUGUUCUAUUUCCUAGAUUUCAUUUCCCUCUCACUGUUUAUAAUUCCUGCUCCUCCAACUUUAGCUCAGGAAACCAUUCCAUGCAUCUUAUGAAGUGGACUCCAGUCUUCAAUAGUUUAUGUCCUACUAAUCUUUAAGGUGACACACAGUUCUUUCAUUAAAAACUGAGUAAUCAAUUUAUGUACCAUCCAGAGAAGAUCCUAGCAUAGAAAUAACUUCUGCGUAGGAUUGGGCUGUAAUGCACAAAUCAUGAAGUCUCUGGGCUAUGUGUUCAAUUUCCCUUUUUAACCUUUGAAACCAGCUCAGCAAUCACUCAGAGAUUUAUUGAGGGCAGACACUGAUUAUUCUUUUUUGGAUGCAGUUCUGCUUUCACACUGGUUGCUCAUAUGUUUCAUAGCUCAUGAAGAAAUGGCGUAAGUGGACAGUGUUUUUGUGGAACUGGCAGCCAUUUUGUGUCCUUUCAAAUAACUCUCUGUGGUGCUCCCUCACAGCUGACUGGAUUCUGGUUUCCCGCCUUUUCUGACGUACAUGAUAAUUCCCUAUAUCUCCACCUUGUGAGGAAACUAGACUCCAGUUAGGUCACAGUUGUUUUGCUUUUAAUGGUGGGAAUAAAUGAAUGACACCCCCACCAUCUUAAUGGAUUUAUAUCCUGCUGAUUGCAGUUGAGGAAAGCAAACUGCUCAGCUACUGCUGGCCAAGCUAACAACAGUUUGUGAGGAUACUUCACUGUCCCAUCACCCUGCUCCAUACAAAUAGAGAAACAGUACCCUAAAUUUAAUGGGGUGGUGGUAACAGAACCAUUAUGGACGCCUAAUAAAAGUUUCUGUCUUGUAGUGACUGAACGAAUGGCUCUGAAGUGAGGUGGCCUGAGUCACCUCUGCCCUGAUCUUUGUGGUGGCCCUUAGGGUGCCCGCUUACGCUUAUCUCUCAACCUAAGUCCCUCCCUUUGUCAAAUUGGGUAUAAUAAUAUGGCCUACCAUAAAUAUAUAGUUUACAGCGAAAUAAUUUACAUGAUCCAGUUUGAAAACGCUAAUAUAUGUAAGCAUACUUUGAAAACACUGAUGCCCUAUAUAAAUGCUAGUUAUGAUCACAUUCAUGUGUCAGUUGGUGAUGAGGGACUGUAUCUCUUCUUUGAGCUCCUUGCUCUAGCAGCCUGUGUUGUUGCUGCAAUGUGGCAUAGUGACAACACCAGUAUAAUGGAAAACGCUUCCAAUUGACUGAUAGGUUUGGCUCCUGUAGCGUGCCGACCAUCCAAGUACUGAAUGCUUCCCCAUGCAGGUCGAUGAUGUAACAUAUAGUCCAAUGACAAGAAAUGGCCUGGAAGCCUCCACCCCUUUCAGGGAGGCAGGAGACCCAGAGGCGCCCUUGAAGUUGGUAGAGCUGUACGGUGCCUCUGGAUAGAUGCCCACACCGUCAUGGUCACGUUAGGCCCUUGGGCGCCCAGGCUGGCAGAAUAAGGCAACACUCCUCAGCUCAGCUCAGCCCAGCCGCUCGUGACUUCUCAACAGCCUGGGAAAUCUGGGGGAUGAAAUAUCAAGGUGGGCCAACCAGAAAUGUGAAAGGACUAUCAAAAAACCCCAAGAUGCUGAGGGCAGAAGCAGAUUGGAAUUUGGGGCACGGGUGGCAUCUGUUCCUAGGCAGCUUGGCAUCUGGCACCAAAAAUAUACUUUCUGAAUAUCAAGCUGCUCUUAAGGAGUGGGGGCCCAGCCAGGCAGUUAGCAACCUUGCCUGCUAGACCACCACUGGGCCCUGAGAGGAUUUGUAGCUCUUCGAAAAGUGGCAGUUGCUGCUCAGGAUUCAACUGCCAUUGUUUACGUGGUCACCAUGACAUUGAGGUUCCAAGAUGGCCUGGAGCUGCACAUUGACUUUCUGAACUUGGCCGUGAGCAGAAGUACCUUUUGGGUCGCUCCCGCUCUUUUGCUCCACUGGGCCGCGCCAACGCUCACUCUGGUUUGGCUCUGCUUUCAUCAUGGCAGUUAGGAAGUGCUUCAGAGUAAGCGUUGAUCAGCUAGCUAUAAGGGUUCCUUUUUGUGGGGGGGAGGAAUAGGGUUUUUUUGGGCUAGGAGGAGAGAUAUUCUGCCAGUUUGGGGGAAUUCUAGGAUUUGAGCCGAUCCUGGCAACUUUGGGAUGUCUCAGUUGGGCACUAACACACACAUCUCUGGCUCUUUGCAGAACGUCCAAAAGAGAUGCACAUUAUUCUGUUUCAUGGGCAUCAGAGACGAAGAGGUUCCUGUGUCUCCUGAGAAGUACGCUAGCCAUUUCUUACUAUGGUUGCUUAGAGAACCCCAUGAUCAUACGUCUAAGCAGUUUUACAGACUGCUUACAUUACAGGUCCCUGUCCACAAUGAGCUUCCAGUCUUAAGUUCCGACAGAGGGAAAAUAAUAGGAGAGAUGGAGAAAGGAGAGGCUAGCGUAGGAAUGUCUUGUAUGUGAGGCCAUUUCGGCAGGACUGCUUGCUAGGACAGAGACCUACAUGGUAGUAAAUCUCAGACGUUGAUGGAGAGCCGAUGAUGGGAGAUAUUUGCUCUUCAUGGCCGCCUUGUGGGCUUCCUGGAGCAUCUGACCAGCCACAAUAGAAACAGCAUACUGGGCUAGCUAGACCCUUGGUCUUAUCCAGCAGGGAUUCAUUCUCUUAGGGUUUUAUAUCAGUGUUCCCCAACCUGAGGUCCCCCAGAUGUGUGGGACUGUCGUUACAUGUUUUAUGUCCUUACAGCACUUGUUUCUCGUGUCACAGGGAGCCAGAGUUGAGGAUCCAAGAGGGAAUCUGAGGGAGACGACUAUUCUAGCACAUGGGGAAGGAGUAAAUGUCUGUCCACUCCAUCAGUGGGCCAACCCCUCCCCUCCCCAUUCUACAGCUUGCUGCAGGAUUGUGGCUGAUGGGAUGAAAUUUAUUACUCAGCUACAUAUUACAUGCACAAGUGGGUAAGAAUCGUGGCUGCCCUCAGUCUGCAAAGCAGCAGUGGGAGGGGAAUUUGGAGUUGAUAAGAACCAGCUAAGGGAAGCCACUUCAUCCUUCCUCCACCCACUGCCCCCACCCCAUAGAGAUUCCAGAUGUCCCAGGUGGGCACUAACUCCGGCCACCUCAGGAUCUGACCCAGGUGGCUUUCUGCUCUCCUCUCUCUUUGCAGGAUGUCCAGAAGAGAUGCUCAUUAUCCUGCUUCAUGGGCAUCGUGAGGAAGAGGUUCCCAGGUCUCCUGAGAAGUACGCCAGCCGUUCAUUACUGAGAUUGCUUAGUCAGCUCCACGAAUUGUACCACAGCUUGAGUUUCCUAAACCUAAAAAAAAUGAGGUCUCCACCCACAAGGAGCUUCCAGGCUGCGUUCUGACUGAGGGAAAAGAACAGAGGAAGGGAGACAUGUGUGUGGGAAGAUGGUCUUUGGCAGGGGCUGCUUGUCAUGCCAGAGACCUACACGGUGGUUGUUUCCAUCAGCUAAUGUUGCUGAUGGAGCCCAAACGAUGGGAGGUCACAGUUCCUGGGAGCACCUGCGUAGCCACACUGGGAUGCACGGCAAACUGGCCCCUUGGUCUCUGUGCCGGCUCCAGGGCAAGGCACCCUCCACAGAGCUCCUCCCUCCGGGGUUGGCCUUCUCACCACCAGGGUCUCCGGCCGCUCCUGCUCCUCAUCCUCUGGCUCCUCAUGGCUACCACUUGCUGCUGUCUACCUGCCCCCAGCUCUCUGCCUGGCAAGCGAGCGUCGCCUGCUCCUCUCCACCACCAGAGCAGAGGGCAGGGGGACACGCAGGCUGCCAUGGGGCGGAGGAGGUCCAGGGGGCUUCUUGCCAGUGGGCCCCUGCUGGUGCCCGACCAUGGCCAAUACUCAUGCUAGCUGGGGAUAAUGAGACAUAUAGUCCAGCAAAUCUGGAGGGCACCAGGGUUGGGAAAGACAGUUCUGUGGCUUGUUUCUCAUCUCACAGGGAGCCCGCAGGAGACGAGUAUUCUUCCACAUGGGUAAGGAGUAAACAGCGGCCCGUCUGCCACGUUCAUGGGCCAACCCCCUCCCCUCCCUACAGCUUGCUGCAGCAUGGGCAGUACUGUGGCUGAUGGGAUAGGGAGACCUUUCUUGCUCAGCUACAGGUUGCAUCCACAAGCGGGUAAGAAUCCUGGCUGCCCUCCGUCUGCAAAGCAGCAUUGGGAAGGGCGACUGGGAGUGGAGAAGCAGCAGCGAGGAAAGGGCACUUCCUCCACCCAGUGCCCAGCCCCCCCCCCCCCCGAGAUCCCAGACGUGCGUUUUGACUAGCAAAAAAUGCAACUGGGAGCCUUGAGAGUCUCCUACAUGCACUCACAGCGGUGCUGUAUCUCUGCGCCAAAGAGAGAUGGCAGAAAAUGGCACCUUCUGGACUAAAUAGAUGGAUGGGGUGCAGCGUGAGUGCUGGACGCCUGGUUUCUCCUUCCUGUUCAUCCAGAGUCAGUGGACGAGGAGGACACGCUAGCCAGGAUCAGCAGCUUGCCGGACGACCCUUCCUCUUAUUCAGCAAGGUACCCUAUUCCCCACAGAAAGGAUCCAGGGCGGCCUUCCCCAACCUGCAGGACACCCCAGGAGUGUUGGACAGCACCUCCUAUCAUUCCAUGCUUCUCCUUCCUGAAGAUCACAGCAUGGAAUUAGGCAAUCGCUGAGUAGGAUUUUUUUGGGGGGGUGGGGGGAUGUCUCUCAUACAAUCUAGUGGUGCUUAUAAGGUAAUUUGGGCUGAUUGGCACAGCAGGCAGCUUCAGUGCGGGGAAGCAGGGAGUUAAGCAGAGGCUCCCCUGGUGAGCAUAUUUUACCCUCAUGUUCAUUCCUUUCUGGGUUUUGUAUUUUCUGUUUUGUUGGUUGUAGUUCACGUUAGUGGGAGUUUCUCGCCUUUUGUAAAUUAAAUGUGUUUUACUGGAGAAUAAAUGCAUUCCAAUUUGCUAUCACCCCAUUGUGGGAAUGGAGACAGAAACACUUGGGAUGCAGAAGUCAGUGGAUCAAGAGGCACAGGGGCCUUCAAAAGACUGGCCCUGCUCCCGGGGGGUGCUUCUCAGAGAAGGCCCACCCGCCCACCCAUCCACCCCGCAAGAUUACAACAGAGGAUUAAGCAGUUGCCAUACCCUCCUGUCUCCUGACAUUCUCAGGCGCACACAGAGCCUUUUUUAGCCCGGUCCUCCCAUGUUUUAAUGUUGGUAGCCAUUUAAGUGAAUUCAUGAGUUGAAAAAGAAUAUGGUCUUAGAAGACAGGUUUACUACCAGAGGGAGGGGAUGUAACAGCAUUCGCUGACCUGGUGCCCUCCAGGUGUUUUGGAUACAACUCACAGCAUUUCUUAUUACCAUUUGAUUUUGGUCCAAGUGACUCAAGACAAUGUACAAAGUU